AGUGAACGCUGGCGGUAGGCCUAACACAUGCAAGUCGAACGGCAGCACAGUAAGAGCUUGCUCUUACGGGUGGCGAGUGGCGGACGGGUGAGGAAUACAUCGGAAUCUACUUUUUCGUGGGGGAUAACGUAGGGAAACUUACGCUAAUACCGCAUACGACCUACGGGUGAAAGCAGGGGAUCUUCGGACCUUGCGCGAUUGAAUGAGCCGAUGUCGGAUUAGCUAGUUGGCUGGGUAAAGGCCCACCAAGGCGACGAUCCGUAGCUGGUCUGAGAGGAUGAUCGGCCACACUGGAACUGAGACACGGUCCAGACUCCUACGGGAGGCAGCAGUGGGGAAUAUUGGACAAUGGGCGCAAGCCUGAUCCAGCCAUACCGCGUGGGUGAAGAAGGCCUUCGGGUUGUAAAGCCCUUUUGUUGGGAAAGAAAAGCAGCAGGUUAAUACCCCGCUGUUCUGACGGUACCCAAAGAAUAAGCACCGGCUAACUUCGUG
rnacentral:rRNA from 1 species